rnacentral:rRNA from 1 species
CGCGUAGGAAUUUAUCUCUGGGUGGGGACCAACCGUGGGAAACGUUACGGCUAAUACCGCAUGAUGCCUGAGGGCCGAAAAGCAGUGAUGCGCCUGGAGAGGAGCCUGCGUCUGAUUAGCUUGUUGGUGGGGUAAAGGCCUACCAAGGCGACGAUCAGUAGCUGGUCUGAGAGGAUGAUCAGCCACAUUGGGACUGAGACACGGCCCAAACUCCUACGGGAGGCAGCAGUGGGGAAUAUUGGACAAUGGGGGCAACCCUGAUCCAGCAAUGCCGCGUGGGUGAAGAAGGUCUUCGGAUUG